rnacentral:rRNA from 1 species
GACGAACGCUGGCGGCGUGCUUAACACAUGCAAGUCGAACGGAAAGGCGCUGCUCUUGUGGGGUGGUCGAGUGGCGAACGGGUGAGUAACACGUGAGUAACAUGCCCUUGACUUUGGGAUAACUUCAGGAAACUGGGGCUCAUACCGGAUAGGAUCUCCUGCUGCAUGGUGGGGGUUGGAAAGUUACGGCGGUUGGGGCUGGUCUGGCGGCUUAUCAGCUGGUUGGUGUGGUAGGGGCUGUCAAAGGCUUCGACGGGUAGCCGGCCUGAGAGGGUUGCCGGCGACCUUGGGACUGCGAUACGGCGCAGUCGCCUACGGGAGGCAGCAGGGGGGAGUAUUGCACAAUGGGCGCGCGCCAGAUGCAACGGCGCUGCGAUCGGGAUGACGUCCUUCGGGUUGUGAACCAAUUUCGCCUUUGACGAGGCGGGAGUGACGGUAAUGGGUCAAGAAGCACCGGCUAACUACGUG